AUCGAUACGAAGUAUCAGUACAACUGCAUUCAGACGGCAGGUGGAAUUUUGAUUCUCGAACGGUUACAAAUUGUAUCUGGUAACUGGUAACUAGUAUCUGUAUCUGGUAGCCUGCGCAAUCAAUUUCAAUUAGGAGCUGGUCUAAUUGCUCUCACGCCAGGCGACCAGAUGACAAAUGGCAGCAGUCGGAAAAGCAGGGAAACAUAAUGGGCAUUAGAAACGCAUGUAUAAAAACACGCAGUGUAUUUGUUUGGCGGCUGCUUAGUGUCUUUCAGCACACAUUCACUUUGCUGAAAUUAAUUUGCACUGCACUCUGCGGUUGCCGCUCAUCCCGAUGGAUUGCAAUCCGAUGGAUUUCUGUGACAUGCGGUGAUAAAACGCUAAUCAGCCGCCGCGCUGCUCCCGUUACCUGUGCAAUCCACCUGUGCGGCGGAGCAGGUGCAGCAGAUGCGAGCUGCGAGUGGCGAGAGUGCCGAUGCAGAUGCAGAUGCCAGAUGCGGAUUUCCGUCGCUGUUGCCUCGGCAAUCAGAAGUCGGGCAGCGGACUCGAAUCGCAACGUUCUCGACGCGUCACAUGAACUUUUCAGACUGAGCGGCAACUCGGAAGCGAGCGGCCAGCCGAGCCGAAAAAAACAAACGAGAGCGGAGCGGCCAAAGAACGGCGACGCCGACGCCAACGCCGCCGGUCGCCGGUGGCAGAGGCAGCAGCAGCAGCAGAGAUAGUACCAGUAGCCAGCGUGGGCGUGCUCGCAUGAACAUCCACUCGGAAUCGGAAUUGGAUUCGGACUCGGAAUCCGAGUGAGUGAGUGAAAACGAAAGCGGAGCAAGGCGGUCGCCACUGGCCAAAUCGGGAUGAGGUCGAAAGUCGAAGGUUUUAAAACCACUUUCGAUUUCAGCUAAGUGAAAUAUUAUAGAGCUAACUUCUGAGUAUGACCAUAUAUAUUUCAAAAUCAUUAGAUAAAUAUAAAUAUUAUUUAAACAAGCAAAAUGUUGCACUUUCCCAGAACAUAAAUUUUCAUAAACAGCAGCACAAAGCAGUCGGAACCGAAUAAAUCGGGAUGUGGCCAUAAAUCAAUGGAUACAAUACCCAUCAUGCCAAGCAAUAUGCCUUAAAAUUAAAACCAAUCAAAUGUAAUUGCCACACGUUAAUUGAAAUUCAAAGGAAAAGAAACAAACACUUUCCGCAUAAGAGUUAAAGACACACUUAAAUAAAAUAUUUAUAAACACAGUGUGCCACAAUAUGGGUGUUCCACUCAAAAAAUAUUUAAACUUAAAUAGCAAUGAGCACAAGAUAAACUCGCAUACUAUUGACUGUUCGCAUACACAGAAAGCAGGUGGAAUCCACGACGUGGUGGCCAAAUUUAACUAAACAAUCGCUUUGUG